rnacentral:rRNA from 1 species
GCUAACUACGUGCCAGCAGCCGCGGUAAUACGUAGGUGGCAAGCGUUGUCCGGAAUUAUUGGGCGUAAAGCGCGCGCAGGCGGUCCUUUAAGUCUGAUGUGAAAGCCCACGGCUCAACCGUGGAGGGUCAUUGGAAACUGGGGGACUUGAGUGCAGAAGAGGAGAGUGGAAUUCCACGUGUAGCGGUGAAAUGCGUAGAGAUGUGGAGGAACACCAGUGGCGAAGGCGACUCUCUGGUCUGUAACUGACGCUGAGGCGCGAAAGCGUGGGGAGCGAACAGGAUUAGAUACCCCGGUAGUC